AGUAAGUGUUUAAAUGUCAAACUUUAUCAAUUUGAUGUUUUUUAUAUGAUAGUGCAUGUAAUUUAAAAGUAUGAACCAAAUUAGCGUUAGUUGUAGGUUCUGUUGUCAUGUUUUUGUAACUUAGCUGGAGCAGACUCGCAUCAACGUUUAAGCGCGCAAAUUUGAAUGACAAGACGUUGGUUGUAGUGUUAAUUAUACCGUAUUAAGUUAACUGUGAGAUGUCUGAUUAGAUACACCGUCGAACAUUUAACUUUAGCUUUACUUAAAGCUUAUCUUAGUUACUCUAACAGCGUUCUCUCUUUUACCACAGCAUUUUCUACAUUGACCGAAGAUAAAAAAAAGUUAUAAGGUGCUUCUUGGGCAUCAACCCAGAGACGGGCACAAAAUCUAAGAGGCAGAGAGCUCACAUGAACCAGCAAGUCUGCACUCUUAUCAGGAAGCUCAUUGACUUCGAAUGGAUGUCAAUCUAAUUGGAUAGAACCCACACUAUGCAGGUGCCAGCUGCGAGGGAAGGAGAGAGACACCUGCGACCCUCUCUAUUCCCACCUUUUUGUCUUUUCUUACAUCUCUCUCCCUCACUCUCUCUUCUCUGUCUCCUUCUUUCUCUUUUGACACACAUUCCUGUUACCCAGUGUCAAUCCCUGUUGCCCAGUGUUUUAUUCAUGUAAUUAAAUUGUAUUUUACUUCUAAAAAAUAAAAGUUAUGUCACUGUUUU